CCUACGGGACGCACCAGUGGGGAAUAUUGCAUAAUGGGCGCAAGCCUGAUGCAGCCAUGCCGCGUGUAUGAAGAAGGCCUUCGGGCUGUAAAGUACUUUCAGCGGGGAGGAAGGGAGUGAGGUUAAUAACCUCAUUCAUUGACGUUACCCGCAGAAGAAGCACCGGCUAACUCCGUGCUAGCAGCCGCGGUAAUACGGAGGGUGCAAGCGUUAAUCGGAAUUACUGGGCGUAAAGCGCACGCAGGCGGUCUGUCAAGUCGGAUGUGAAAUCCCCGGGCUCAACCUGGGAACUGCAUUCGAAACUGGCAGGCUGGAGUCUUGUAGAGGGGGGUAGAAUUCCAGGUGUAGCGGUGAAAUGCGUAGAGAUCUGGAGGAAUACCGGUGGCGAAGGCGGCCCCCUGGACAAAGACUGACGCUCAGGUGCGAAAGCGUGGGGAGCAAACAGGAUUAGAUACCCGGGUAGUC
rnacentral:rRNA from 1 species